rnacentral:lncRNA from 1 species
GGCGUUCAAGGGCAGGAUUGUCAGACCCCAUCCGGCCAAUUGCAAGCUUCAUGUUCAUGGGUCCUACUGGGGUCGGUAAAACUGAGCUUGCAAAGGCUCUCGCAGGGUACCUUUUUAAUACAGAAAAUGCUCUUGUUAGAAUUGACAUGACUGAAUACAUGGAAAAGCACGCAGUCUCACGCUUGGUUGGUGCACCACCUGGUUAUGUCGGAUAUGAAGAAGGUGGACAGCUCACCGAAGUAGUUCGCCGGAGACCUUAUUCCGUGGUACUAUUUGAUGAGAUUGAGAAGGCACAUCACG